rnacentral:rRNA from 1 species
AUGAACGCUGGCGGCGUGCCUCAUACCUGCAAGUCGAGCGCACAGAUGAGGAGCUUGCUCCUCUGACGUUAGCGGCGGACGGGUGAGUAACACGUGGAUAACCUACCUAUAAGACUGGGAUAACUUCGGGAAACCGGAGCUAAUACCGGAUAAUAUAUUGAACCGCAUGGUUCAAUAGUGAAAGACGGUUUUGCUGUCACUUAUAGAUGGAUCCGCGCCGCAUUAGCUAGUUGGUAAGGUAACGGCUUACCAAGGCAACGAUGCGUAGCCGACCUGAGAGGGUGAUCGGCCACACUGGAACUGAGACACGGUCCAGACUCCUACGGGAGGCAGCAGUAGGGAAUCUUCCGCAAUGGGCGAAAGCCUGACGGAGCAACGCCGCGUGAGUGAUGAAGGUCUUCGGAUCGUAAAACUCUGUUAUUAGGGAAGAACAAAUGUGUAAGUAACUAUGCACGUCUUGACGGUACCUAAUCAGAAAGCCACGGCUAGCUACGUG